GACCCCCUAGGUGUGUAUAUCAAGAAAGUGUGCGUGCAGGGAGUUGGACCGAAAGUGAGCAGCUCGUUCGUAAGGAAGAGGAGCACUUCGAGAACCUAUUGUACCGAAAAGGAAACUUUCUACAAAAGUGUGCGCACCAUAGCCAGCUAGACGAGAGUCGAGUAAAAAGCUGUUGUUGGGAAUAAGACUUCUACAGUCAACGACAAGAAUCUUACACAGUAGAAAAACAAACCAGCUAUUUCAACGAGACGCAAGACGAAUUCGAAUAACGGGCCUAUACUUAACUCCGACUGGCUUCUGUUGAUACAAUGCGUGUAAUAAGCCCGACCGCGUUCCGGAAUUGCAUAUAAAUAUCACAUGUAAGUAAGUACCGUACCUACUCUAUGCGAGAGUCGCAAGCGAGACCUUUGUGCUGGCUUAGCAACAAUCAUCCAUGCGAGCGACCAUUAUACACAAACACAUUCCAACCCUAUAUCCAACCACUACCAACAAGAAGUAUACGAUGUGUUUAAAAAUAAAGAAUAUUUCAUCUCUAGAGAAA